rnacentral:rRNA from 1 species
CAGUAGCCGCGGGAAUACGGAGGGUGCAAGCGUUAAUCGGAAUUACUGGGCGUAAAGCGCACGCAGGCGGUCUGACAAGUCAGAUGUGAAAUCCCCGGGCUUAACCUGGGAACUGCAUUUGAAACUGUCAGGCUGGAGUCUUGUAGAGGGGGGUAGAAUUCCAGGUGUAGCGGUGAAAUGCGUAGAGAUCUGGAGGAAUACCGGUGGCGAAGGCGGCCCCCUGGACAAAGACUGACGCUCAGGUGCGAAAGCGUGGGGAGCAAACAGGAUUAGAUACCCCGGUAGUCCAUGUCUCUUAUAC